CAAUCAGAGCAAGUGCCAACUUUGACAUUUCGCUGCAUUGUUUGUUAUUGAAAAUUAGAUUCACAGUGUUAGAGUCAAUUGGCUCUUGAUCCUGAAGAUGGCUUUUGAUAAGCCGAAAUAUAUCGAUCAAAUGGAAUCAUAAAUUUUUUUUUUGCAUUUUCAUUCGGAACAAGAAGGAGGCAAUACAAAAAAGUCACACACUCUGUGUGAAUCAAAUAUAUAAACCUUUAGGUAAAAAAUAUCUAAUAAUGAAAAAAAUCACUCAACAUGGGAACUCAACUUGUAUAAACAUGCAAAGCACGUCACACUUUUGCGCUUUUAAAACUUAGUUUUAUUUUACACUUGGCACGUAUCAGUUCCGGUUUCUCUAAAUUUAUCGUGCAAUAAUUUGAUUUUUGACAUUCAAUUAUAUUUUUUUUGUUCGAUACUAAUAAUUCGUUUAUAUUGCAUUUAAAGCAUUCCAAGGGGAAACAUAUAUUUCGAUUAAUUAUGAUUUUUAAAUUCGACGCAAUUUUUUGUUCCGUUUGUCCGCUAUUAUUUUUCAUCCAAAUAACAGAAGGCAAAAUCAAAAAUUUACUUGAUCAUGUGAAUACGCAAGAUAAUAUGAACGUUGUGACGGUAGGUAAAUUAUUUCAUUAACAAAAAUAUGACAAAUCGUCGGCCCCGUGCAACAAGCUGCCAAUUCGCUUAACUUUUUAAUAACCUGCCGAUUGAGAUACCGUGCAACAAGCCGCCAAUUCAAAUUCAAUGCAACAAGCUGCCGAUUCAAAUUCCGAGCAACAAUAGACCGAUUGGGAUUCCGAACAACAAGACACCUAUUCAGAUUCCGUGCAACAAGACGCCGAUUGAGUUUCCGUGCAAAAAGCUGCCGAUUCACGACCGAUGUGAUUUUGACCUGCAUGUUCACUUUGGGCCACUUACGAAAAUGACAAUUAUUUUUUUUUCUGCAAAACGACUAUUUCAUACGCGGAGUCAUCGAAGCAUAACUGGAUGGCAAUUCGCACAUUAUUUGUUAAUUUGCGGUUAAAAAUCUUAGUAGUAGGGAUUGUUUUAAUAAUUCAGGUGCUUGUCGAUCAUAAUGUGUUCCAAAAAUGUUUAAUUCUAGCGUGAAAACUAUGUUAGUGGCCGUAUCUCGUUACGAUUUUCUAAAAAUCAAGCUCCCUCUUCCAUGUAAGAGCCCGUAAAGAUUUUUACAAAUAUGUACUUUCUAAACCGAUAACUGAGAAAAGUUUCAUUGAAAAUUGACUAAUCAAUCGCCGAUUUAAAAAUCGCGAAAGUACGUCUCAUCUUUUGCCUUUUUGUCUUCAAACUGAAUGAUUUGCAAGCAAAGAAAUGAAUUACAAAAAAACCAAAUUAAAUUAAUUGAAAAGCAAAAACUUUCAAAUCACGAUUUUAUUUUUAAUUCAAUGUAUCUGACCUUGAUCCAAAUUGAAGGCUCAACAAUUUUUUUUUCUUAAUUUUGGGCCUGGUUUCAUGAGGGCGAGCAGUUUUGUUGUUAUAAUUUAAAAUUCAAAGUCACGAAGAGUAUUGAAAUUAGUACUCAGUUUUUUUUUCACCUUUUGGAUGCUUGAAAGAUUGUUUAAUUCCGCACAAAAUAACUUGAAUAUACGAUGUGAUGUUAUAAAUCAGUAGUCCGAUUCCAGUCACACCAAAAUACCACAAUGAUGAUUUAGAACUAACUUUUAUGCUUGCUGUUUUACACUUGCUUUUAUACUUCAUUGGACAGCAAAAAAUCCGCAUUGCCUUAUCGCUGUUGCAUUUGGGUAUGGCUGAGCAUUUCUGAACGGUGUAUUUUUCGUCAAUAAUUCCGAAGAAAUUAAUUACGGGGGGAUUCAGAAAUCAUUUAGAAGAACAAAAAAGUAAACAAUUCUAACUUUCUAACAUUGAUAUCACUUGUUUUAUGUUUGAAUCGAUCACUUAAAUGACUUCGAAAGACAUUUUUUCAUUUGAUAUCAGUUAUUUUGUAACAGAAGGUCAAGCAUCUUGAGAGAUCAUGUUUGUGCAAUGUUCGACAACAACAAUAAGAGGGCAAAGUGGCGAAAAAAAUUGCCUUUCACCGAUAGAGAGAUUAUUCUUUGUUGCUUUCAAAACGGACAAAUAAUUUGAAUUUCUACGCUUUAUCUACAAUUUAUUAGAACAAUUCUUCGUUUGUAUACAGAGAACAUGACAUCAUGGAAUAUAUAUGUAUAUAGAUGUAGAUUAUAUUCCAUUAUGAACUGAGCAUGGAUUACCAGCAUGCGGAUAUUUCAAAAUUUAAACUUUAUUCGAUAAUAAUGCAGUAUUUCGUGUGUCCAAUCGAUUGAUGUUAUCGCCAUCGAAAUUCGUGCUGCUCAUCACUUAUUUUUGUAUUUUAUCAAUGCAAAAAUAAACAUUUAAAAAUUAUUUUUGGACAGAAUCAAUACACUGUACAAAAUUGCAAUCAAAUGUGGGUUCCAAUACUUUCAUAAGAUUAUUAUGGGAGUGCUCAAAACUGAAGAUUUUGUUUUGUCGUUGAAUGCAAGUGAUGCACGUUACAAAUACUUUGAAAAAAAAAAAUUAUGUGUGAGAUUGAGUGUAGUGUAUGUUUUUUGGCGACUUAUAUUUUGAUAAAGUAGAGUAUGUUUCACGACUCGUGGUUUUUGGUGAUUUUUAAUUUUUAACUGACAAACAAUAUCAAAUUGGUGUUUUCGCAAAAAUUAUUGGUCUUGUCAAACUGUUCAACUUUGCAAAAGACAAUUAUCGUAUAUGGGUUGAAAUGAAUAAAUUAUUCGAAGAUUUGGUCAUUGCUUGAAAACAUACUAUAAUUUUUCCAAUACAAAGUCUGUGAAACAUAGACCACUCUCAAUUUCGCCCAUAGAUUUAUAUUGCCUUUAUUUCAAGAAAAUUGACAAAAACAACAAAAAGUACGGACAGCAGUACAGAAAAGUUCGGGAAAAUUCUAUUUAUUCAUCGUUUUUCUUCAGCUUCAUCCAAGAUUUGGGCCAAUUUCGGAAAACCUAUAAUAUAUACAUAGAACCAUAAAAGUUCAACUAUUUUCAAUUUAGUUUCAUACGAAAUUAUGACCUUACCUCUUUUAACGGCUAUCUGGUGGGGUGUCUGUUUCAAAUCGUCUUCAGCAUUCAUAUUUGCCCAAAGUUGAAUAAGAGCCCAAACUACUUUCUCACGACCUGAGAAGAUAAUGAGAGAAGCUGCAAUAAGGAUAGGAAGACUUUUGACGGAGGUGUAUGAACAGUUUACCAUUUUGAGCUGCCAGAUAAAGUGGUGUCCGUUUCCAAUGGUCUUCAGCUUCCACUGUCGCACUAAGCUCAAUAAGAGACUGAGCUAUAAAUUUUCUUGUUUUUCAGUUGCUACUGUAGUUUUAUUCAAUAAAUUCACCAAAUAAAAUCAUUUUGGCUUGUACACUACCC